GGGGGUGUAGCUCAGUUGGCAGAGCGCAACAAUCGCACUGUUGAGGCCAGGGGUUCAAUUCCCCUCACCUCCACCC
rnacentral:tRNA from 2 species